rnacentral:lncRNA from 1 species
CAGGGAGAAAGUUGGGGGGAAGGGGCUGUGUAGAGGGCCAGGCAAGCACUCUUGCUCCACACCCAGACUCUGCGCAAUUUACACAUGGGAAAGAUUGGAAAGGUCAUGUGACGUCAGCUUGGCCCACACAUUGGAAUGGGAAUCUGUUGGCAAAGUGAAAAUUAUUGGUCUCGCAAAACUGAGAUGGGAACAUCGACCUGAAAAGAAUGCAUCUUAUGGUUUUUACAAUGCCAUUUAGGAAUAUGACAUGAAUAUCCCAAAGUACAGAUGUAAGAAUGUGAAUUUUAAGUUCAAUAGAGAAGAAGGGAGAGAAAGAGAUAGAAAGGAGGAGAGGAAAAGACAGCAUGCCAUUUUUCAAGACGUAACUCUUAGCAUCUCUUUUUCUUUCCCGGAAAGUACUGAAUAUUGAUAAGAAUUGUGAAGACUCUGAGGCCUCCCAGUAUUUUGGAGAACAUUUCACAAAGCAAACUUUAGUCAUGUAAAAUGGGUAAACAUGAUGUGAAAUGUAUUAACACAUUUGGUGAAUUCUGCAAAUAUAUUUUUACACAAUUAGCCUAAUUAUUUAGAUACAUAUUAAACCUUGCUUGCCUCAAGCAAUUUAACAUGGAAUGUAAUUUCACAUAUUAUCACAAGAAAAACACAUUUAUAGAAAAUCUGUGGCUUGCCUUUCAUCAUAACACUUCAACCCAUCAUUAUUUGAGAUAUAAAUAGAUAGUGUAUAUUUCAAGGAUGAUGAACACUGUAUUUCCGGAGAAAGUGUCUCCUAAUCCAGUCAGUACUUGGUCCCCUAAAUCCAUCUCUGUUCAUUUGUUAUGUUGAAAUAGACACUGGUACUGAUGCAUCGGUGAUACAAUAACAAUAUACAAAACAGAGUGUCCCCCCCCAUUCUGAACUGAAAAGAUUUGCUAUCAUUUAUUUUGAGGGGCUUUAAAAGAGAAGAGCACACAGAACUAAUUCAAAAAGACUUGCAGAGGAGGCGAGAUGACUGUAGUUCUGCAUGUUCCCCUGUUUGCAAGCCAACAGGAGUCACUUCAACUUUAAAAAUCCUGCUCAACAGUCAUUGCGCACUGUCUUUCCAUUCGUAUUUUCAAUGGACUGUGUGGAGCAUUACUUCCUGAGAGAUCAAAUUAUUUGGAAAUCCUUUUAUCAGUCAUUUUCGCGACAGAAAAAGGGGAGCAUUGAUGAUAAGAACACUUUAUGUUUGAAUGGUGAUUAAAAGAUUUUUAAAGAGCUUCCACACACAUCAUUUUAUUGUGGAACAACUUGAUGAUCUAGGCAGUAUUUCAUAUUGGCCGUUUAUAUUUAAAGAAACUCUCUUUUACAAAGGGAGAAAAUAAAUUACAGAGAGAAAUAACUUGCCAUAGUCACUUGAACUGUGACCACACAGACAGAAGUAUUUUUAUCAAAUAUGUUUUUGGCAUUUUACUAUAUGACAAACAACAGCAUUUUGAAGUGAAG